AAUAAAUUAUGCAACACGUAAUUCUGGUUCAGACUGGUGAAGUCUUCAGAUAGACGCACAUGUGUUAGAAAAAGGUAGGUAAUACUCCACUGUGCAGAAUAUUGACCUUCCCUCUGAGUGCUUCCUGGAAGAAACAUUUUAAAUAAGCGUCAGACUUCAGGCUCCUCCCUUUGCCUUUUCUCAAGUUCAGAGCUGUGUUUGUUCCAGUGCCUGGGUGAAAUUUGAUGAGCAUGAAGUUUACAUCUAUUAUGGUCUUGCGGUGGUGGUGAUUGUUUUUUCACGUGACUCAGUUAAGGCCUUUGGACUUGAACUGAAACUAUCUCAUUGACUUUCCUGGACCUUCAGCUUGUAGAAGCAGAUCAUAGGACUUCUCAGCCUCCAUAAAUGUGAGGGGACAUAUUAUGAGCAUAGCCACUGUCUGUGAUGGAUACAGAUUAAUUCUCUCCUCCUGUGGCCUCCAAGGGAUUGCUGAAGAAAAUAUUGAGAAACUACUUUGGGUUUAACUCAGACAAAAGAUUUUCCUACAAAAGACCUACAGGUAUUGAUCCCAAGAGUUUUCUAAAAAUCCCCUGGAGGGGUAAUCUCUGUAUCAUUCUUUCUCUGAGGGAAUUAGACCUUUGAGAGAAGACUUUCUGGGAGAAAUGAUAUUCAAGCUGAGAACUAAAGUAGCUGUCUAGAAGAUAGGUGCGCUCAUUUGAUUUGAAAAUAGCCUCAAGGAAGCAUGAAUAGCAUGAGAUCAAGCGUCAUGAGCUCAUCAGAUUCACAGGUGGUUCCUCUUUCCAGAUUUGCAACAUGACUAAUGGUUGGGAUAGUUGAGAAUAGUCCUACCUCUUCCUUAACUAUAUUCUUAAUAAUUAUCUCACUACUGAUACAAAGCAGAAAUAUCUGCUGAGUUUAUGUGUAGGAUAUUAAAUUUAAAAACCUAGUUGAAAUCUUUUUGCAAGAAGGAAACGAGAAUGAAAGUAUCUAGCAGGGCAACUGGUUUAUAAUUGAAGAUAGUUUUUCUUCAUAAAGAUGACACAGACAACCCUUUAUUCUGAAGGAUUAGUUGGAUAGUUUGA